UAAGGGCGCACGGUGGAUGCCUUGGCACUAGAAGCCGAUGAAGGACGUUACUAACGACGAUAUGCUUUGGGGAGCUGUAAGUAAGCUUUGAUCCAGAGAUUUCCGAAUGGGGAAACCCAGCAUGAGUUAUGUCAUGUUAUCGAUAUGUGAAUACAUAGCAUAUCAGAAGGCACACCCGGAGAACUGAAACAUCUUAGUACCCGGAGGAAGAGAAAGAAAAUUCGAUUCCCUUAGUAGCGGCGAGCGAAACGGGAAGAGCCCAAACCAACAAGCUUGCUUGUUGGGGUUGUAGGACACUCUAUACGGAGUUACAAAGGACGACAUUAGACGAAUCAUCUGGAAAGAUGAAUCAAAGAAGGUAAUAAUCCUGUAGUCGAAAAUGUUGUCUCUCUUGAGUGGAUCCUGAGUACGACGGAGCACGUGAAAUUCCGUCGGAAUCUGGGAGGACCAUCUCCUAAGGCUAAAUACUCUCUAGUGACCGAUAGUGAACCAGUACCGUGAGGGAAAGGUGAAAAGCACCCCGGAAGGGGAGUGAAAUAGAACCUGAAACCGUGUGCUUACAAGUAGUCAGAGCCCGUUAAUGGGUGAUGGCGUGCCUUUUGUAGAAUGAACCGGCGAGUUACGAUUUGAUGCAAGGUUAAGCAGUAAAUGUGGAGCCGUAGCGAAAGCGAGUCUGAAUAGGGCGUUUAGUAUUUGGUCGUAGACCCGAAACCAGGUGAUCUACCCUUGGUCAGGUUGAAGUUCAGGUAACACUGAAUGGAGGACCGAACCGACUUACGUUGAAAAGUGAGCGGAUGAACUGAGGGUAGCGGAGAAAUUCCAAUCGAACCUGGAGAUAGCUGGUUCUCUCCGAAAUAGCUUUAGGGCUAGCCUCAAGUGAUGAUUAUUGGAGGUAGAGCACUGUUUGGACGAGGGGCCCCUCUCGGGUUACCGAAUUCAGACAAACUCCGAAUGCCAAUUAAUUUAACUUGGGAGUCAGAACAUGGGUGAUAAGGUCCGUGUUCGAAAGGGAAACAGCCCAGACCACCAGCUAAGGUCCCAAAAUAUAUGUUAAGUGGAAAAGGAUGUGGCGUUGCCCAGACAACUAGGAUGUUGGCUUAGAAGCAGCCAUCAUUUAAAGAGUGCGUAAUAGCUCACUAGUCGAGUGACACUGCGCCGAAAAUGUACCGGGGCUAAACAUAUUACCGAAGCUGUGGAUUGUCCUUUGGACAAUGGU
rnacentral:rRNA from 1 species